rnacentral:lncRNA from 1 species
CCCAGAUCCACCACUUUUAUAGCAAACAAUAAGCAAGCCUAAUCUUUAUUCUGGAAGGAGACAUUACUUGCUCUGCAAAGUUGCUCACUGCAAACACAAUCGUGAUAUGGGCCUGGGAAGGAGUAAUCAGGUCUUCCAUUCUUGGCACACCAAGCAAGAAUGUGCAGGUGUUCUUGGGCCUAUAGCAAUUUGCCUCUUCAGGAGCCAUUUCUCCAUUGACUCUUGGUUUAUUUUAGUGGAGGAUGGUAUUUAGAAACCAAGAUCUACUUGCUAAGCUGCUCAUUCUAUUGAGUUGUUGCUUCUAGAUGCACUUGGUGGACAGAGCUAGGGAAUACAUGUAUACACACACACACGCACACACACGCACACGCACACACGCACACACGCACACGCACACACGCACACACGCACAUUCUAAUCUCUAUGCAUCUAAUCAUCUCUCUUUUUCUCUGUCUUCAUGAAUUCACACUGAUUUCUUCAAGCCAAUACAACAAGUUCAUCCUAGUUUUCUGCCUUUUCGUAUUUGUAACACUUCUUGGACAGUAAGAAACCCAGAACAUAUUUACUAAUUUGCUUAAUGCUCCUGCAAGUAACCAAUCUGUUAUUACUGCCACUGCUACCUAUUCUACGGUCGUGUGAAUUACCUCCUGACCCACUCGUGCUCUGACCUGACGUGCUGGGAUGCAUCUCUCUUCCUCCUAUAUGGAUGCCCUCCUCCCCUCAGUGUGGCUCCAACACCUUGUGCUGGUCCACUGCAGCUGCCACUACUCAUGGAGACACUCUCCUCACCCACUCAGACUCUGAAUCCCCAUGCUAGGCUGUCACCAACACUGCCUCCCUUCAUGAGUCCCCUUCUUACCCUACCUGGUGAGACACCUUGGGCCAGGCUAUCCUUGCCACAUCCACCACUCUGUGUAGACACGCUCCUUACCUGUCUCAGGUUCUAGAACUCCCAUCUUCACCUUCUGCAGACUCCUACCUUGCUCAGCCACACAUGAUGGCUUUUAGACUCAAUCAGGAAGGGAAAAAAAGGAGAAAGAACACAAAUGAUCAAUUUUAACAGCUGUAAAACACUGCGUGAUGUGGAUGUAACCACCUAGUUACACCACCUCCAUGUUUGCUUAACCGCUUCCCAGCUGUAUUAAGUAGAGUUAUUUAUGUUUUUUCCUUUUCUAGUUACCAUUCCAGGAAUCAAACUAUAAACAUAAAUCUUUGUGCAUCUCUCUGUACACCUCCCUGAUGACUUUAUUAGGACAGAUUCCUAGAAGGGGAAUACUUUCUGGGUCAGAGGGUCUGGAUGUUUUGAAAGCUCCUGGUCUUUGUAGCACAGCUUCAGUGUUCAUCUUACGAUUCAUGCAACCUUAAAUAAAUAAACAAGUGUGACUGUGUCCCCGAGGCUGCUUGGGAUUUUCUACAGAUGAUACUUGUUUCACCGCUGAAUGACAUCACCUCCCUUUUUACACCAAGAUUGAUGUGGGAAAUUCUGUAUAAAUACCCUGCAUCAACAAGCCAUUGUGUCACCAGGCCUCUUAAAGAUGGGCAGCCCACUGCAGUGUGUUGGCCCAGCCUGUGCGGGACAGGCGCCCAUGAUUUAUAAGGUCCAAGCAUGAAGUCUUCAGGAAAGUUGGUGAAGUACUUUAUAGGUCACCUGUAUUUUUCCUACCAUAGAUGUUUUGACUCACGGGUUUCCUUUAUGUCACUCUGUCCAUAGUCUAGGUAUUAUUAAAAUGGAAUAAAGAAGUUACUGUAGCAGAGGCUGAGUAGCUCGGGGGAGGGAGUUUAAGAUUCUAAAUAGGAGAAGAAAGAAGUAACAGGAGAGGGUAUUAAUUAAUUAGGACAAAUAUUGGCAGCCAAGCAACUUAGUAUUUGCUGCAUGAGGACCACUGGCCCAGCUUUGUGCUAGAAGCUGUGGGGGAGUUCACUUGUUCAUUCAUUGAACAGACUGACUGGUCACCUACUGUAUGUCAGGCACUAUCCUAGGUGCUGGGGACCCAAGAGAAAAUAGACAUUGUCCCUUAAGGAGCUCAGAGUCUAGAAGAGGAGAAACCAAGUCUAUUGUGGAAUAUCUGCUGGAGUUCUUGAUCCAGCUUACAGAAGUUUCUGGCAAGGUUCUAAGCAGGAUGCUUGAAGUAGAAAAAUGUGUCUAUUAGGUGGCUGUGGUGGGGGAAGGUCUUUUAAGUGAGACAGAACAGCUUGAGCAAAGGCAUACGUUUCCCUGAAUUCACCAGGAAGGAUUUAGUGUGUCUGUUCCACAUGUCCAACACCGUGCCAGGGACUGCAGAGAGGGUGAAUUUCAUUCCCCAUAUUUUAGCUCGGAAGGUUGUGAGAGGACUGUCUGCAAAAAGUUAUUAAAUGAUUUUCUUCCACUUCCAGGAUAAAUUCCAAAUAUCUUACCCAAGCACCCAAGGCUGACUCAGUCAGCAUUUUCUGUGUGACAAAUAACCACACAACAUCAGUGGCAUGUCCACCUUGAUAAGCAUUCAUUGCUCUUGCUCAUGCAUGCGUGGUUGGUGAGGAUGUGGCUGAUCUUGGCUGGGCUCGCCUGGGCUGGUCUCUGGGUGUGUGUUGAGUCCCAGGCCUACCCCAUGUGUCUCUCAACCUUUCUAGGUCAGUGAUGGCCUAAAGGAUGUUCUUGUCAUGGCAAAAGGCAAGAGUAGAAGAGGUCAGUUCUAACCUUAGAAGCACAUUUCAAGCUUUUUGUUCCCCUCCUGUCUGCUAGUGUCCGUAGGUCAAAGCAAGUCACACAGUUGUGCCCAAAGUCAAGGUGAAGAGAGUGCACUCUGAGGGUCAUGGCAAGGGUCAAGGAGUUGUAUAAUAGGUCCCCUGCAAUCUGGACGGUGCAGAGCUUACCUGCCUCUGAAGGUAAGCCUCACCUCUUUCUUCUUCUCUUUUGGUACUUCUGCUAUAGCCAUGCGUGUUCCCUGGACAUGCUACAUAUUGUGCACAUGCUAUUCCACAGACCUAGGAUGCUCCUCCCUGUCUCAUACAUUUGGUCAACCCUAUCGCAUCAUUCCUGACUAAGCAAGGCCUGGCUCAAAAGAUCAGGGAGGACAUCCUUAUUUGUCUUUCUUUUCCUCUCCAUAGGUAUGGGUGGAUCAUGGGGAUUCAGGGCCCCUCUUGGUACUUGGUUCUCUCUUUGGGUAUUCUCUCUUUCUCUCCUCUCACCUCUCUCUUUCUCUCUCUGUCUCUCUCUUGCUUUUGUUCUCAGCCUGCAUUGGCAUGAUCAUUUAAAGAUGAACAUCUGGCAUAGAGAGUUGGCCUUACUUUGGCCCUGAACCCUCACUAGGAUGCUCUGCAGGGUAGAAGGCUCACCUGGGCAGCUGUUCAUGGAGCAGCUCCUCUGGUUUCUCUUCCACCCUUGCUCUUCAGGUUCUCUGUGUGGGGAGGGUGGUGGUGACAGUAAAAGGCAGGAUCCAGGCAUUCCUGGGUCCUUGUGGUGACACCAUCAAAUAGUUCCCACUCUACCCAUCCUCAAACUCAGGUACAGAGCAGGUUGUACAGAGUGGCUGUGAAUGAAUGAAAGGGUGAGUGAAUUAUGUAUAUAUUUCCUCCAUGCUGCUUUCCGCUCAUCUUCAGGACUUUGGGUGAGCCUUGAAGUUGAGCUUCCAAAGGUAGAAGGAAUGAAGGAGCAAUGACAAGACCCAGACCUGCUCAUCUUAAUCAACUUUUAAGGUUGCCAUCGCCAGCAGCAGCAGAAAGCAACUCCGAGAAGCAGGCAUGUUGCUUGCAAAGCAGACUUUGGGGUGGAGACUUAGCUUAAAGCAUCCUAUUUAUAGAGGUUCUAGAAAGUUAUGGAGCUCUGGGGAGCCAGCCUGGGGCCACUCAUAGCCCACUUAGUGCCAGUGUUGUCUUUAGGGGCCUCCAAUUCCCUUUAUAAAGAGCUUUUUUAUAUUUUUUAAACGGAGCCUGGAUACUGUUAACGUGAAUGUUGAACAGGUCAAGCAGUUCCAGCUAUUAUUGAUAAUAAAAAGAGAGAUUCUGCAAAUGUAACAGUCAACCCAGUGCCCCAGUAGGCAGCAUUAUUCUUGGUCUAAGUUGUGGGUUGUUCUUGCAAUUUAAUAAAGAAGAAAACUGAGGUUGGGAGAGGUGAAGUGAUCUCUCAUGGGUAGAAAGUUGCCACGGCAGGCUAGUUUCAGGUUGGCCUGGGGAGUGCUGAUUGUCUUUUGCAGAGGUGUCGUGGUGUUGUAGAAGACCUAGGGGUCAGCUCAGGGCCAUGAAGGAAGCAAAUUUCAGGUCUGAGGACUGAGGAACCAGCUCUAGAAGGCAGAGGCUGUAAGGAUUUGACAUUUGCAUAGGAGGUGGGGCGGGGUCAAAGUCCAGCAUCAAGGCUGCAAAAAACGAGUAGGUAUCAGAGACCAGUUUUAAGGUGGGGCCAGGGGCAGGUGUGUGAGCCUAAAGUGGAAAAGGGUGGCCAGACCCUGACCUGUUUGGCCUCCUCUAUCCCCAGGCACCCGCUUUUUGUUGCAAUUACAAUGCUCCCCUGAGGCUGCUCCACAGAAAAAAAGUGCUCCUUAGAGCAAAGUUUGGCAAUCAAUGAGUUCAAGGAGUGGGCAGCCCCUGGCCCCUCCCACUAAAACAUUAGUUGUCAAGAAGCUGCAUCUACCCUGGACUAACCAAAACUGGUCAGAUUUACCUGUCUACCUGCACGAGAACAGACAGCGGUGGGCACUUGUGGAAGGAUCAGAGCUGAUACAUGAUUAGGGAGGAUGCAGCAUUGGAUGGUGUCAUGCACAUUUGCUGCUGUAGGUCCAGCAGCUACUCCUUUAUCUUGGUAUCAGCACCCCAGUUUUCAUGUGGGUGCUGUCCCCCAUGUAGCCCUUGUGUUUCCAAGGGAAGCAGGCCCAAAUCCCAGCUCCAGAAGGUGGCCCUGGUUGGCCUAAGCUUGUGCUUACAGCUCAAUGCCCUGGCAUCAGCGAUUGGCAGGUGUCUCAGGGAAGCAUUUGCUGGGAAGUUCUGAAAAGGAAGCUUUUUCGGUUGUUCUUUCACAGAAACUAUCUUCACAGAGCUGCCCUCUUUUCCACUGGACUAGGAAGCCCUCAUGGCUGCUGGCAGCCAUCUUGUGGCCAAGAGGGAGGGCAGGCAGAUGCAGGAGGCAGAGUGGAGAAAUGGAAGGGAAUGAAGUUCUUGGAGACUCUGCAGAGCUGCUAACAAAGUUUUGCUGAAGCCUAUCCCUCCUCUGGACUUCUCAGUCACAGGAGUUAAUACGUUAACACAGUCAUUUGGUGUGAUUGAGGAAUGCACUGUUCCUGAGUGAUUUAGAGAGCUUCUACCUCCUCUAUGUUCUCUUUGGAAGCAUUUUCAGGCCAUCUUGCAGAUGCAGUCUCUGAGUUAUGCCCCUGCCCUGGGCUCAGGGGACAUGUUGAGGAGGUCAUGGAUCCCUGCAUGCCUGCUGAGGACCAGCCCCUCCCCUACACCAUUCUUCUCCCCUGCUCUGGUCCAUAUAUCAGACCAGCCUAGCAACCAUGAUGACAGCAAAAUCUCAGAAACUGGGGUGGGGGACAUGCUUUUCAAUAUUUUUCUUUUCAAUAAAAUAUUGUCUUGAUUUCCUUUCUUGAGACCUCUCUACCCAUGUUGGAUGAGGUCAGCCAUAAGACGGAAGCCUCAGGGGCUGUAAGAAUGGACUCCUCAACUGAAAUUUGGACAGAAUGCUCUCUCUGGUGCUUCCCAACUCUGACAAGCUCUGGUUCUGUGAAAGUUGAUCCAAUGAUGGUAAAGGGACUCCAGGAGCGUCUGCUGGGUGCCAGGCACCUCCUAGCCACUCUGUCCUUUGCAGAAGUGGAAACUGAGGCUGUGGAUAGCUCAAGGCUACAAGGAGGCAGAGUUAGGAUUUGAAUUUAGCUCCUUUUGACACUAAGACCAUUACAUUCCAUGACUACACGUGCUGUGCCCUUGCUUUGGGACACCUUUUUUUUUUUUUUUUAUAAAGAUGGUUACUCCGCUUUGGAAAAGGUCAAUGGAGGGACACACUGCAGCCUGGGGAAAUUUUUUUUGGAGCUGUUGUCUCACAGGAUUUUUUUUCUUUUCAUGAACUUAGUUCAGCCAAGGGUGCUUUGAGAGGCCAAUUUUCAGUCUCGCCCCCCAUUGAAACUCAGAAGAACAUGAACCAGGGCCAGCGAGCUUGCUGGGUGAACUUGGAAACAGUGGCAAUUGGUCAGAGUUGGCCUGUCUCUAGCUCCCUGUGUACUAGUGGAGGGAUGUUUGUUGUUUCAGUGGCCACCGAGCAGAACUCAGGGAGAGGGUGUGGAGCCCUCAGAGGCCAGGCAGGCUGAGAGGAUGGCAUGUGUGCACACCACAAACCAGCUUCCAAACAUAGCCACAGUUCAGGGGAAAAAACCCCAACCUGACUUCAUAAGCUCUCCUGAUGGAUAUAUAAAUCCUCUUGAGGAAACGCUGGGUUAUUAUUGAAUGUUCACUGUGUUUCCUGGAUGGAGUUUGGAAGAGAGUAGACAACUCAACUUUUGUUCGGCAGGAACUUGGAAGACAGGGGAUGGGGCUCUGUAACCCACCUACACAUACAUCUUUCAGCAUGGAGCGUCUGUUCAAUAUGCCCUCACCUAGAGCCCGGUCCUGCGUGAAUAUGCUCAUGCACUGAGACCUCGGGCAAACCUGGGGGCUGAGGAGCCUUAUCCAGAUUGCACAGGUGAGGCCAUGGGUCCCAUGCCGGUGAAGAGACUCACAUCAGCUCGUACAAUCUGAUGGUGCUGGAGUUAGGAUUUGGAUCUCAAACUGGUUCUCUCCAAAAGUCAUCUCUUAACCACUCAGUUUAAUUGCCUCAUCACAUAAAAUUACCUCACCUGGAAGAAAUGCCCUGUUCAGGGACAGAAAAUAAUCCAUUGAUC